AUUCCCGAGUGGCCAAAGGGGGCAGACUGUAAAUCUGUUAGCAACGCUUUCGAAGGUUCGAAUCCUUCUCCAUCCA
rnacentral:tRNA from 1 species